GAAGUAUCCAUCCAGAGAGAUCUACUCAGCCGACAGGAGAGCUACCUCUGACUUUCUAAAACCUCUUAACAACUCUGCAAUGGCCUAGCUGAUGGUUUUGAAUGCUUGGACUUGGCAGCCCUGAUCUGAGCCAUUCCCUUCUCCAAAGAGCCUGUGAGCCAUAAAAAGACAAAAGAUAAGCCUGCAGCCGUAUGGUGGAACCCUUCCAGAUCCAAGCCAGCCAGAAAAAAGUGAGAUCACAGACGGUGAGACAAGCCCCAAACCUCUCAGGUUUCUUCUGUGCCAGAGGUGGCUGGAGCUGGAAGCUGGCAGACCUGAUUCCCUUCUUCCUUAGUCAUCCGGAUUUUCAAGUACCCAGAACAUCCUCAUCUGAGAAUCAUAGGAACAAUUCAACUUGGAAGGGACCUGUGGAAGUCUUUAGUCCACCAUCCUGCACAGAGGACCAGCUCAGAAGUUAGAUCAGGUUGAAAGUUCAGACUUUGAAUUUGCUGUGGUUUUGGUUGUGACUGGUGUGACUUGUGCUAUAGCUUUGACUUAUA